rnacentral:rRNA from 1 species
UACAGAGGUCUCAACCGUUGUUCGGAUUCAUUGGGCGUAAAGGGUGCGUAGGCGGUCACGCAAGUCGGAUGUGAAAUCUCAGGGCUCAACCCUGAAACUGCAUUCGAUACUGCGUGGCUAGAGUGCUGGAGAGGAGACUGGAAUUUACGGUGUAGCAGUGAAAUGCGUAGAUAUCGUAAGGAAGACCAGUGGCGAAGGCGAGUCUCUGGACAGCAACUGACGCUGAGGCACGAAGGCCAGGGGAGCAAACGGG